AUGGGGGGUCACUCUGGAUUCCCAGUGACAUAUCGCCGCGUGCGCAGGCUCUUUGCAUGGCCUAAGAUGAAAGCACAUGUCCAACAGUACGCGAGAUGCUGCCAAGUAUGCCAACAAGCCAAGCCGGAUCGUGUUGCUUCGCCAGGCCUGUUACUACCCCUCCCUAUACCAAAGGAAUCAUGGGAUCUAAUCACCAUGGAUUUCGUGGACGGGUUGCCGCAAUCAGGGUAA
rnacentral:rRNA from 1 species